rnacentral:rRNA from 1 species
GACGAACGCUGGCGGCGUGCCUCACACAUGCAAGUCGAACGGAAAGGCCCUGCUUUUGUGGGGUGCUCGAGUGGCGAACGGGUGAGUAACACGUGAGUAACCUGCCCUUGACUUUGGGAUAACUUCAGGAAACUGGGGCUAAUACCGGAUAGGAGCUCCUGCUGCAUGGUGGGGGUUGGAAAGUUUCGGCGGUUGGGGAUGGACUCGCGGCUUAUCAGCGUGUUGGUGGGGUAGUGGCUUACCAAGGCUUUGACGGGUAGCCGGCCUGAGAGGGUGACCGGCCACAUUGGGCCUGAGAUACGGCCCAGACUCCUACGGGAGGCAGCAGUGGGGAAUAUUGCACAAUGGGCGGCAGCCUGAUGCAGCAACGCCGCGUGCGGGAUGACGGCCUUCGGGUUAUAAACCGCUUUCGCCUGUGACGAAGCGUGAGUGACGGUAAUGGGUAAAGAAGCACCGGCUAACUACGUG